UCGCGAAACCUUCACACUGGGGGAAACCCUGAUGAGGGAAUUCCUAGUGCCUGCAUUUUUUGUAGGCUUUUAUCUAGUGUAGAUAGCUAGAAGAAUAAGGGCCGGGUAAGACGGGUGCCAGCCGCCGCGGUAAUACCCGCGGCCCAAGUGGUGGUCGAUAUUAUUGAGUCUAAAACGUCCGUAGCCGGUUCAGUAAAUCUUUGGGUAAAUCGGCCAGCUUAACUGACCGAAUUCCGAAGAGACUGCUGAACUUGGGACCGGGAGAGGCCAGAGGUACUUCUGGGGUAGGGGUAAAAUCCUGUAAUCCUAGAAGGACCACCGGUGGCGAAGGCGUCUGGCUAGAACGGAUCCGACGGUGAGGGACGAAGCCCUGGGGCGCAAACGGGAUUAGAUACCCCGGUAGUCCAGGGUGUAAACGCUGCAGGCUUGGUGUUGGGGGUCCUUCGGGGGCGCCCAGUGCCGGGGAGAAGUUGUUAAGCCUGCUACUUGGGGAGUACGUCCGCAAGGAUGAAACUUAAAGGAAUUGGCGGGGGAGCACCGCAACGGGAGGAGCGCGCGGUUUAAUUGGAUUCAACACCGGAAAACUCACCAGGAGCGACGGUUACAUGAAAGUCAGGCUGAUGACCUUACUAGAUUUUCC
rnacentral:rRNA from 1 species